CACGGGGUUGCGAGCGUUGUCCGGAAUUACUAGGCGUAAAGGGCAGGCGGCGGAUCCAUAAGUUUAUCGUUUAAGGCGUCGGCUUAACCGGCGUAGGGCGGUAGAUACUGUGGAUCUGGAAUGCGGUUGGGGAAGACAGAAUUCCUGGUGUAGCGGUGGAAUGCGCAGAGAUCAGGAGGAAUACCGAAGGCGAAGGCAGUCUUCCAAGCCGUUAUUGACGCUCAACUGCGAAGGUGUGGGUAUCAAACAGGAUUAGAUACCCUGGUAGUCCCUGAG
rnacentral:rRNA from 1 species